CCUUCCCGUUAAGGGAACCUGCGGAAGGAUCAUUACUGAAAUGUAAUAACUUCUAUUGAAAGGUUCCAGAGUAGGCGCUACAACGCCGAAAUGACCUUCUCACCCUUGUGUACUCACUAUGUUGCUUUGGCGGGUCGACCUGGUUCCGACCCAGGCGGCCGGCGCCCCCAGCCUUAACUGGCCAGGACGCCCGGCUAAGUGCCCGCCAGUAUACAAAACUCAAGAAUUCAUUUUGUGAAGUCCUGAUAUAUCAUUUAAUUGAUUAAAACUUUCAACAACGGAUCUCUUGGUUCUGGCAUCGAUGAAGAACGCAGCGAAAUGCGAUAAGUAAUGUGAAUUGCAGAAUUCAGUGAAUCAUCGAAUCUUUGAACGCACAUUGCGCCCUCUGGUAUUCCGGAGGGCAUGCCUGUUCGAGCGUCAUUUCAACCCUCAAGCUCUGCUUGGUAUUGGGCAACGUCCGCUGCCGGACGUGCCUUGAAGACCUCGGCGACGGCGUCCUAGCCUCGAGCGUAGUAGUAAAAUAUCUCGCUUUGGAGUGCUGGGCGACGGCCGCCGGACAAUCGACCUUCGGUCUAUUUUUCCAAGGUUGACCUCGGAUCAGGUAGGGAUACCCGCUGAACUUAAGCAUAU
rnacentral:rRNA from 1 species